rnacentral:rRNA from 1 species
UUAGUAUACAGUUUAUAUACCGUUGUUAUAAAAUAUUUUAUAAGAAUAAAAAUAUUUAAAAAUUUUAAUAGAAAAAUAUAUCAGAUCAAGGUGUAACUUAUGUUUAAGAAGAAAUGGGUUACAAUAAAUUUAUUUAUGAGGAUAUAAAAUUGAAAUUUUUUAUUAAAAUUGGAUUUAAUUGUAAAAU